CGAGGUCGACUCAUCCCGAAGUAGCUGACGGUCGACUCAGCCCGAAGAAGCUCAAAUUUCCUUCUCUUUCGUGAGGAUUUCGCAAUUAGCAAAAACUCAGUGCAAUGGAAUGCCCGGAGGUCCUGGUCAACAAAAGAAAAGGGAAGGGACCGAACCUGAAGAAGUCGAACUACUGUCCGGAUCCUUCACAAGGGCAAAAUGCUGGAGUGAUGGAGGAGCAUUUAGAUGGAGGUCAUGAAGAAAGACCCAGACAACACAACAGUGGAUGAAGUGAUGUCUGCUACUUUCUCGCUUCGCUGAAAAGAAACAGUUGGGGAUCAACCCAUGGUUGCCGACAGCAUGGAGCGAUGGCCGUCCAUGUUUACUGAACGACAGGCCCAUGGCGACACACUUGGAGAAGCAAUGAAAGACAUCCGCCUUGGAAUUCUGAUUGGCUACAAAGUCAACCAGGAGGGAGCCUUUCCAGCAGCUUGUUUCGGAAGUUGUGGACUCGAGCUGAGGCGUUGUCUGGUUGUAUUUUCACUACCACACGUUGCAGAAACUCGAAUACGUACUUCAUGGCGCUCGGACACUGCAGGUUAACCGCAUAUUAUGCCUAACAGCAUGGCCACACCGUCGCCAUAUAAUUUAAAUUGUGUAGCACAACCAUUUCCUCCACAACAACUGCCACAUUGAAGACAUCUGCUGGAGGUUGGCGCUGUAGACCUGGUAUGUUGGUCAAGUCUAGGCACUGCAUGUGCAUAUACAGAGGCGCGCGCGCACACACA